rnacentral:rRNA from 1 species
GAUGAACGCUAGCUACAGGCUUAACACAUGCAAGUCGAGGGGAAACGGCAUCGAAAGCUUGCUUUUGAUGGGCGUCGACCGGCGCACGGGUGAGUAACGCGUAUCCAACCUGCCCAUCACUUGGGAAUAACCUUGCGAAAGUAAGACUAAUGCCCAAUGACAUCCCACGAAGGCAUCCGAAUGGGAUUAAAGAUUUAUCGGUGAUGGAUGGGGAUGCGUCUGAUUAGCUUGUUGGCGGGGUGACGGCCCACCAAGGCAACGAUCAGUAGGGGUUCUGAGAGGAAGGUCCCCCACAUUGGAACUGAGACACGGUCCAAACUCCUACGGGAGGCAGCAGCGAGGAAUAUUGGUCAAUGGGCGAGAGCCUGAACCAGCCAAGUAGCGUGCAGGAUGACGGCCCUAUGGGUUGUAAACUGCUUUUAUAAGGGAAUAAAGUGGGUCACGUGUGACUUUUUGCAUGUACCUUAUGAAUAAGGACCGGCUAAUUCCGUG